CCUUAGAGGAAGUAAAAGUCGUAACAAGGUCUCCGUUGGUGAACCAGCGGAGGGAUCAUUACUGAGUUUACGCUCUAUAACCCUUUGUGAACAUACCUAUAACUGUUGCUUCGGCGGGUAGGGUCUCCGCGACCCUCCCGGCCUCCCGCCUCCGGGCGGGUCGGCGCCCGCCGGAGGAUAACCAAACUCUGAUUAACGACGUUUCUUCUGAGUGGUACAAGCAAAUAAUCAAAACUUUUAACAACGGAUCUCUUGGUUCUGGCAUCGAUGAAGAACGCAGCGAAAUGCGAUAAGUAAUGUGAAUUGCAGAAUUCAGUGAAUCAUCGAAUCUUUGAACGCACAUUGCGCCCGCCAGCAUUCUGGCGGGCAUGCCUGUUCGAGCGUCAUUUCAACCCUCAAGCUCUGCUUGGUGUUGGGGCCCUACAGCUGAUGUAGGCCCUCAAAGGUAGUGGCGGACCCUCCCGGAGCCUCCUUUGCGUAGUAACUUUACGUCUCGCACUGGGAUCCGGAGGGACUCUUGCCGUAAAACCCCCCAAUUUUCCAAAAGGUUGACCUCGGAUCAGGUAGGAAUACCCGCUUAACUUAAGCAUAU
rnacentral:rRNA from 1 species